rnacentral:rRNA from 1 species
GACGAACGCUGGCGGCGUGCCUAAUACAUGCAAGUCGAGCGCAGGAAACUGACGGAACUCUUCGGAGGGAAGGCAGUGGAAUGAGCGGCGGACGGGUGAGUAACACGUAAGGAACCUGCCUCAAGGAUUGGGAUAACUCCGAGAAAUCGGAGCUAAUACCGGAUAGUUCAACGGACCGCAUGGUCCGCUGAUGAAAGGCGCUUCGGCGUCACCUUGAGAUGGCCUUGCGGUGCAUUAGCUAGUUGGUGGGGUAACGGCCCACCAAGGCGACGAUGCAUAGCCGACCAGAGAGGGUGACCGGCCACACUGGGACUGAGACACGGCCCAGACUCCUACGGGAGGCAGCAGUAGGGAAUCUUCCACAAUGGACGAAAGUCUGAUGGAGCAACGCCGCGUGAGUGAUGAAGGUUUUCGGAUCGUAAAACUCUGUUGUAAGGGAAGAACACGUACGAGAGGGAAUGCUCGUACCUUGACGGUACCUUACGAGAAAGCCACGGCUAACUACGUGCCAGCCGCCGCGGUAA